rnacentral:lncRNA from 1 species
GGUUAUCAACAAAUUAUAAGUUUACGGGUACCAUGAGGAUUUUUCAUGCAUUUAAACGACAGAAGUACAAGCGAACAGAUGACACAUUAAAGUGGCUGCAGAAGCUUGAAAAGUUAGAUAGAGCAGGGACAGUUAAAACUGUGGGAUAAUACUUCUAUGGUGUCCAGCAUGUCUAGUCAGGUUGACAGAAGUGAAAGAUGGUCUGAUGUGUAAAAUGUUCUGUGGAUUCAUAUGAUGAGAAUGCCAAUGUUGAUCUGUAUCACUUAAUUAAACACAGAUAUUUAUACCUUCAGAUAUAUGCCUGUGAAAUCUUCAGUGUCACCGUUCAGCUAUUGUUCAAGAUCAGUGUCAGCAGCUUGCACAGUUUAGUAAAGAGGAACCUUCUGAAUCAAUUUUGUUACAUAUUUGCUGUUAUUGUAGGACGCAUAUGUAGAGAGCAACAAGUCCUGUCCAACUGCAUGUAAAUGUGAUUCAGAAACUUUGAGAAUAUGUAAACAUUACACUGUUAUAAUUUUCAAAAUACUGUGUCUUGUAGUGUAUCAGUACUGUUUUGUCUCAGUUUAUAGCACAGUAUGUUCACAA